UACGUAGGGUGCAAACGUUGUUCGGAUUUACUGGGCGUAAAGCGCGUGUAGGCGGCUUGGCAAGUCGGAUGUGAAAGCCCACGGCUCAACCGUGGAAGCGCAUCCGAAACGGCCUCGCUCGAGUCUCGGAGAGGAAGGUGGAAUGCUUGGUGUAGAGGUGAAAUUCGUAGAUAUCAAGCGGAACACCGGUGGCGAAGGCGGCCUUCUGGACGAUGACUGACGCUGAGACGCGAAAGCGUGGGGAGCAAACAGG
rnacentral:rRNA from 1 species